UUGGCCUACGGGGGGCAGCAGUGGGGAAUAUUGCACAAUGGGCGCAAGCCUGAUGCAGCGACGCCGCGUGAGGGAUGAAGGUACAGAGUAUCGUAAACCUCUUUUGUCAGGGAACAAAGGCGGGGACGUGUCCCCGGAUGAGUGUACCUGAAGAAAAAGCAUCGGCUAACUCCGUGCCAGCAGCCGCGGUAAUACGGAGGAUGCGAGCGUUAUCCGGAUUUAUUGGGUUUAAAGGGUGCGCAGGCGGUCUGUUAAGUCAGCGGUCAAAGCCCGGGGCUCAACCCCGGCCCGCCGUUGAAACUGGC
rnacentral:rRNA from 1 species